rnacentral:lncRNA from 1 species
CUCUGUGGAAAAGGUGGUUCUGAAAGAAGCAAAUAAGGUGCUCAGAGCCAUGGAGAGUGCUGUGCCUGCCUUGGGGCUGGUGAGGAAAAUGGCUGGGAGGCUGGAGCAAGACCCUCAGAGGAAAGAAGCCUCUGGAAUUCCUCUGUGAGUAGGAAAGUAUGGCCACACCCACUUCUUCUCCUGGAAUUCAAUCUCAGGCUGGUCUAGAGUGGCUGAGGUCAGAUCAGGGGUUCCCGAGGAUUCUGAGCUGAAUUGUGUUCCCCAAAAUUCAUAUGUUGAAGUCUUAAUCCGCAGUGCCUCAGAAUGUGACUUACGAAUGUGUCCUUAUGUGGUGUCCUUAUAAGAAGAGGAGGUUAGGACACAGACACGCACAGAAGGAAGACCAUGUGAAGAUCCAGGGAGAAGAUGGCCGUCAACAAGCCAAGGAGAGAGGCCUCAGAAGGACCAACGCUGCUGACCACUUGAUCUUGGACUUCCAGCCUCCAGAACUGAGAGGAUGUACCAAAUCUCCUACUGAGAUGGUGACUUUGUCUCUUUCUUCCUGUAGUUCAUUCAAUCUUUCCUUUGCAUGUUUUGAGUCUAUAUUAUUAGGUCAUGGAUUGCUGGUGAGGACCACCUUAAAAAGAAGAUUCACAACAAAUGCCUGCGUGGAAGCCCCAGAGGCUGAUGAGGACCAGCUGUGCACCUGACACCCAGUACCUGUCUUUUAAAGGUUUCGAGAAGCUUCUGCAGAUGACCUUGAACCAGAGGAGUCAGUUAAGCAACACAUCCCUGGAGAAGAUCCUUACAGAAUUUGGUUUCUGUACGGUCAUGACUCUGCAAUCCUGUGAGGAUGGCCACUGAAGAAAUGGAGGCCCUGGGAAAAUAAACAGCCUCUCCAAGGACCCAGGACCAGCAAGGGGAAGGUUCCCAGUUCUGCUCCAGGCAGAGGUUGCCAAUUAGUGAAAGCAUAUUCGGACGGCAGGUUUCUUGUCUUGUGCUGACCGCUUACCUUGGUAUGGCCUGUGACAGUCUCCAAGACACUUUCACUCGCACGGUCCCACGAGAACCUUGCAAGGUUCCUGCAAGGGAGGCAUGAGAACCAAACGGACCCAGGGAGGAUGAGUAAGCAGCAUGGCCAGCACUUGCACAGGUGUCUUUUCCAGUCACUCCUCUUUGUGGGGACCCUUGAUGCCAGCGAUAUACUACACGACCCAGGCUCUCUCCCAUCCAUUUGGAGCAAAGACCUCUGCAUGGGGUUUUCAGAUGUAGGCAGGUCUCUGCCCCGUGGCCCAGCUUUUGGUGAAUAUCCUCAAACGUGUCUAAAACUCAUCUCAACAUUCCCCCCUGCCCCCAGCUGCUCUUCUCGCCCCAUUCCUGAGUUCUGUGAGUUGCCCAGCCAGAAACCGGGGUGCCAGGCUUGACUCCUCCCUCACCCCUGCCCAAAGGCCCACGAAUGGUGCCUCCUAGUAGCUCUAGAAUUGAUCCCCCUGCCUGUACUCUAGCUCAAGCCACCGUUAUAUCUUCUCCAGACAACUGCAGUAGCGUCCUAAUGGAUGUAGUGACCUGAAUGGUGGCCCUCAAAUCUCAGGCCCCCAUCCUUGGAACCUGUAAUGUUACCUUAUAUGGGAAAGUUCUUGCAGAUGUGAUUAAGGACUUAAAAAAAUUAAAUUGGGGUAAAAUACACAAUAUAAUAUUUACCAUUUUAGUCAUUUUUAAGUGUACAGUUCAGUGGCAUUGAAUGCAUUCGUGUCAUUGUGCAACCAUCAGCACCAUCCAUCUCCGGAACUCUUCAUUUUGCAAGCCUGAAAUUCUGUACCCUUUAAACUUCCCAUUUGUCCCCAAUCCCUGCUCCAAAGCCCAGUGACCACCAUUCUGCUUUCUAUCUCUAUGAAUUUGGCUACUCUAGGGACCUCAUAUAAGUGGAAUCAUACGGUAUUUGUGCUUUUGUGACUGGCUUAUUUCACUUAGCAUAAUGUCUUCAAGGUUCAUCCAUGUUGUAGCAUGUGUCAGCAUUUCCUUCCUUUUAUAGGCUGAAUAAUAUUCCAUUGUAUGGAUACACCACGUUUUGUUUAUGUGUUCAUCCAUCCAUCCAUUUAUGUACGGACACUUGGGUUGCUUCCAUCUCUGGCUAUUGUGAAUAAUGCUGCUAUGAACAUGGGAGUACAAAAGUAUGUCCAAGUCCCCACUUUCAAUUCUUUUGGGUAUAUGCCCAGAAGUGGAAUUGAUGGAUCUUAUGGUAAUGCUGUGUUCAAUUUUUUGAGGAACCUCCAUACUGUUUUCCAUAGUGACUGCACCAUUUUACAUUCCCACCAAUAAUACAGUAGAGUUUAAAAGGAUUUUAAGAUGAGGAGAUUAUCCUAGACUGUCCCAAUGGACCCUAAAUGCCAUCACAAGUGUCUUUAUAGGGAAAAGGCAGAGGGAGAUUAGAAACAUAGGGAAGGUGAUAUGAAGGUGAAGGCAGAGACUGGAGUGAUGGGGCUAUAAGCCAAUGAAUGCUGGCAGCCACCAGAAACUGGAAGAGGCAAGGAGUGGAUUCCCCAGUAGAGCCUCUGGAGAGAGCACAGCCCUCCCGCCACCUUGAUUUCAGCCCACUGCGACUGAUUUCAAACUUCUGUCCUCCAGCACUGUGAAAGAAUAA